rnacentral:rRNA from 1 species
GAUGAACGCUGGCUACAGGCUUAACACAUGCAAGUCGAGGGGAAACGACGGGGAAGCUUGCUUCCCCGGGCGUCGACCGGCGCACGGGUGAGUAACGCGUAUCCAACCUGCCUCUGACUGAGGGAUAACCCGUCGAAAGUCGGCCUAAUACCUCAUGGCAUCGUCUGCGGGCAUCCAACGACGAUUAAAGAUUUCAUCGGUCAGAGAUGGGGAUGCGUCUGAUUAGCUUGUUGGCGUGGUAACGGCCCACCAAGGCGACGAUCAGUAGGGGUUCUGAGAGGAAGGUCCCCCACAUUGGAACUGAGACACGGUCCAAACUCCUACGGGAGGCAGCAGUGAGGAAUAUUGGUCAAUGGGCGAGAGCCUGAACCAGCCAAGUAGCGUGCAGGAUGACGGCCCUAUGGGUUGUAAACUGCUUUUAUGCGGGGAUAAAGUGAGGGACGUGUCCUUCAUUGCAGGUACCGCAUGAAUAAGGACCGGCUAAUUCCGUG